AAUCCUAUCGUUACAGCAUCCACAAAUGUCUCUCACACGAAACUACCUCGCUUCCAUUUUCGAAGACACAAAACCGAGAAAUAAAAAUGAAGCCUCGUCAAGAACAAGAAGAAGACGAAGAACGACUUCGUCAAAGAAAACUUGAAGAAUCCCUUGAAAUAAAAUCUCUCCGGCGCAUAAUUAGUGCCUACCUUAAUUAUCCAGAGGCAGCAGAAGAGGAUGUGAAAAGAUACGAAAGAUCGUUUAGGAAGCUUCCUCCUUCUCACAAAGCUUUGUUAUCACGCUACCCUUUGAAGUUUCAAAGUCUAAGAAGGUUUGGAUAAAUCUGGGACCACUCCUGUAUCAUUUUGCAGAUAUGUAUGGACAAGAGGAUGAGAUGUCCAUUGAACUGAGCUUGGAAGAUGUAAAGUGUGUUGCGUUUAAUUAUGGGUUUGAAGUUGAGUAAUUUAAAAAUGUACAGUUCUAUUUAUGGGCUGCAGAAGGAAAAGACAAUUGAGACAACCUACACUACAAAUCCUCGAUCAAUGAUGCAAGUAAGCUUCUCAGACCCAUGUUGGAAAUUCUCUGUUAAAUGUUUUCUCUGCCUGCUUUAUAAAUUUUAAAAGUGGAGAUGGGGGACGGUGCCUCUCCUCCCCAAAAUAUCAUCUGUGCAGUAUUUAUAGAAGUGAUCUAAGGACUAAGAAGCUUCUGUUGUGGCUUAACAAACUCGCUCACCAAAUGUGCUUACCUAUGUCACGAGUCCCCAGCAUGCUAGAUCCCUUCUCUUUCUUUUAGGCCAAUGAAGGCCACCAAAUUCCCUUUUGCUAAUCAGAUCUGACUUUUGUAGUUACAGAGUUUACCUUCAGCUCAUGCUGGCGUGGUAUUUGCUAACAUAUUUGACUUUGAUUUUUUGCCGAACCGAUACUUUGCUGCAUUCUGGACAAUGAGAAAGAAAUCGGUGGCAGCAGAAAAGCAUUCAACAUGAUAAGCAGUGGUGGAGAAGCAUUUUGCAUGAUGAUUACUUGGUCUGCUAUAUUGUUUUUUUUUUUUUUUAAUUAACGUGGAUGUCUGGGUUAGCUUGCACGCACCUCGAUUAAUUCUACGAGCCCUAAAGUUAACGACUAUAUAAGCCUUCAGCAGUCCUGAGGGGACUCGAACUUGUGACCAUUGGGAAACAAACCUAAGACCUGACUAGUUGAGCCCUCAAUGUUAGUCUGCUAUAUUGUUCCUUCAUGUAAAAGCUGCAUACAGUGUCCAGUAAAUUGAAAUGUAUUUCUUGAAAAUAAAAUACAAGGUUGAAGAUUAAUUUGA